UGGGGAAUAUUGCACAAUGGGCGCAAGCCUGAUGCAGCGACGCCGCGUGAGGGAUGGAGGCCUUCGGGUUGUAAACCUCUUUCGCCAGUGAAGCAGGCCAUCUUCUUUGUGGGGUGGUUGACGGUAGCUGGAUAAGAAGCGCCGGCUAACUACGUGCCAGCAGCCGCGGUAAUACGUAGGGCGCGAGCGUUGUCCGGAAUUAUUGGGCGUAAAGAGCUCGUAGGCGGCUGGUCGCGUCUGUCGUGAAAUCCCCUGGCUUAACUGGGGGCUUGCGGUGGGUACGGGCCGGCUUGAGUGCGGUAGGGGAGACUGGAAUUCCUGGUGUAGCGGUGGAAUGCGCAGAUAUCAGGAGGAACACCGGUGGCGAGGCGGGUCUCUGGGCCGUUACUGACGCUGAGGAGCGAAAGCGUGGGGAGCGAACAGG
rnacentral:rRNA from 1 species